rnacentral:ncRNA from 2 species
GGGUGGGGUAGAGGCGCGGUAUUUAUUAGUCCUUUUUGGAACAGGAGCAGUGAUGAUACUAAGGAGAAGGAAAUAUCGCCGAAGCUAAUAAUACGCUCAGUAUUGUCUGCUGGGUCUGCAGUGAAUAACUGUAGAACUGUCUCAAUGAACGUCCCAGUUUAUUGAGUUGUGCUAUCUCGGCG